rnacentral:rRNA from 1 species
UAUGGUAAUUGGCCGCGGUAAUACGGAAGGUCCGGGCGUUAUCCGGAUUUAUUGGGUUUAAAGGGAGCGUAGGCCGGAGAUUAAGCGUGUUGUGAAAUGUAGAUGCUCAACAUCUGCACUGCAGCGCGAACUGGUUUCCUUGAGUACGCACAAAGUGGGCGGAAUUCGUGGUGUAGCGGUGAAAUGCUUAGAUAUCACGAAGAACUCCGAUUGCGAAGGCAGCUCACUGGAGCGCAACUGACGCUGAAGCUCGAAAGUGCGGGUAUCGAACAGG